rnacentral:rRNA from 1 species
AGUGAACGCUGGCGGUAGGCCUAACACAUGCAAGUCGAACGGCAGCACAGUAAUAGCUUGCUCUUACGGGUGGCGAGUGGCGGACGGGUGAGGAAUACAUCGGAAUCUACUUUUUCGUGGGGGAUAACGUAGGUAAACUUACGCUAAUACCGCAUACGACCUACGGUUGAAAGCAGUGGAUCUUCUGACCUUGCGCGAUUGAAUGAGCCGAUGUCGGAUUAGCUAGUUGGCGGGGUAAAGGCCCACCAAGGCGACGAUCCGUAGAUGGUCUGGGUGGAUGAUCGGCCACACUGGAACUGAGACACGGUCCAGAGUCCUAAGGGAGGCAGCAGUGGGGAAUAUUGGACAAUGGGGGCGAGCCUGAUCCAGCCAUACCGCGUGGGUGAAGAAGGCCCUCGGGUUGUAAAGCCCUUUUGUUGGGAAAGAAAAGCAGCAGGUUGAUACCAAGCUGUUCUGACGGUACCCAAAGAAUAAGCACCGGCUAACUUCGUG